AGUGAACGCUGGCGGUAGGCCUAACACAUGCAAGUCGAACGGCAGCACAGUAAGAGCUUGCUCUUACGGGUGGCGAGUGGCGGACGGGUGAGGAAUACAUCGGAAUCUACUUUUUCGUGGGGGAUAACGUAGGGAAACUUACGCUAAUACCGCAUACGACCUACGGGUGAAAGCAGUGGAUCUUCGGACCUUGCGCGAUUGAAUGAGCCGAUGUCGGAUUAGCUAGUUGGCGGGGUAAAGGCCCACCAAGGCGACGAUCCGUAGCUGGUCUGAGAGGAUGAUCAGCCAAACUGGAACUGAGACACGGUCCAGACUCCUACGGGAGGCAGCAGUGGGGAAUAUUGGACAAUGGGCGCAAGCCUGAUACAGCAAUACCGCGUGGGUGAAGAAGGCCUUCGGGUUGUAAAGCCCUUUUGUUGGGAAAGAAAAGCAGCAGGUUAAUACCCCGCUGUUCUGACGGUACCCAAAGAAUAAGCACCGGCUAACUUCGUG
rnacentral:rRNA from 1 species